CGAGGCCGACGGCUUCCUGGCCGACCUGGCCUCCUCGAGCGAGCCGGCCGCGCUGGUGACCACCGGCGGGGGCAAGUUCUACUCCAACGGCCUCGACC
rnacentral:tRNA from 1 species